AUUUAAUUUUUACCUUUUUUAUGGAAAACUUUUUAAGUUUUUUAGGUGUUUUUUGAUUCUGGGUAUUUUUAGGUUGUUUUUGGAAUUUGAUUUGGUUUGCCGUGUGAAUUCUGGGUGAUUUAGUGUAUUGAUGUUAAUUGGGUUGAUAGUUUGCAUGCUGUUGAUCUGAUCUGAUUGUAUGGAAGUUGUUGGAUGUGUGAUCUUACUUGAUUGUGCUUGUUUGAUUAAUUUUAUUGUGGAGAAUAAGUAUCGGAUGAUGGAGUGUGAUUAGGUGGAAUUGAGUUAGUAAAUUAUGAAGCUUUGAAAGUGCAAGAAAGGGUCAUUUAAUUUGACAAAUUGAUUAGACGAAGAUAUAUUUUGUUGUCUUGUUUAAUUUGCGUUUUACAUUGACAUGUUUUAGGGUACCAUAUAUGCCACAACAUCUAAAAUUGUAGUGCAAGUGUUGAAUGUGCCACUGCUAUUGUAAAAGGGUUCCUCUUGUGGUUGGAUGUACAAAAUUGGCAGCCCCGGUCCGAGCAAUACGGAGGCCCUAUGCCGAAGUUGAAAAUUAGCACGCACAAUUAUCUCAAAAAUAAUAAUAAUAUAAUUAGAUUAUAAUUGUUUCUUACAAAAUGGUAGUAAUACAAUCUUCAAUUUUUUUAAAAAUCAUUCUCAAUAGUUAACUAGUAGAACUGUAGUUGAAAGAGAAAAAAGAAUCUACUUCCUCUGUUUCAAUUUAGUUGUGAUACUUUUAAAAUCACGGACUUCUAGGUAAGUUUUGGAGAGGGGAGAGAUAGAGAAAGAAAACAAAAUGGUUCCAUGUGAUAGGAGAGAGAUAGAGA